CAGUUCAAUAGAAUCGAAACACGGUGAGACUUGCGAAAUGAUAAACCACUUUGUCGAGAUUGAAACCAUCUAGCACUCCAGGGAGAACUUUCUUAUUUACUGACUGAAAGCUACCGCGCAUAAGUGAGCGGCUUCAUGUUUUUGCUAAGGAAGAUGUGUGUCUGAGUAAGAACUGCUGCUUUUUCUGUGGCGGAAUAAUUUGAUUGUCUCCACUUGCAUCAGUAUUUCUCCCUGUGAACUGCAAAAGCUUUUGCUGUCCUUUUGAAGUAUUCAU
rnacentral:lncRNA from 1 species